rnacentral:lncRNA from 1 species
CCAAGAAGACUUGUAAAUUCCGGAGUCCUAUGAAUUUCUUAUUAUUAACAGCUCUACUUGUGGUGAAUUGAUCCUCGUAUUGUGUAUAUAAACUGAUACAGCAGAGACGGCCCGUCUCAUCUUGCCUUAUCAUUUGCAAUCCCUCCCUCUCCGCCUCCCCCUCCAUUGAAAACACUUCUUUCUUUAUCUGUUUUCAGCAAAUCUGCAUCCUCUUCUUGCUCUCUAUGUAUUAUUCUUGCUCUCUAUGUAUAAUACAUAUGUAUUGACGCAAAUUCAAGAGUGAAACAACUGAAUCCCACAAGUAUUUUUAUAUCAAGAAGACUCUCUUUGUGCUUGGUAUGUAUUUUUAUAUUUUCUUCACCCUACUCCCACCUCUGUUACACUUCAGUGUUAUAUGUUUAGUUUUCUUAAUUGAGAAACGAGUAAUUGUUUUUUUUUUUUUUU